UUAGGAAUAUUCGUCAAUGGGGGAAACCCUGAACGAGCAAUGCCGCGUGAGUGAUGAAGGUCUUAUGGAUCGUAAAACUCUGUUGUUUGGGAAGAACGUCCAAAGUAGGAAAUGACUUUGGAGUGACGGUACCAUUCGAGAAAGCCCCGGCUAACUACGUGCCAGCAGCCGCGGUAAUACGUAGGGGGCGAGCGUUGUCCGGAUUUAUUGGGCGUAAAGCGUGCGUAGGCGGUUUAUUAAGUCGAAGGUUAAAUACUGAAGCUCAACUUCAGUUCGCCUUGGAAACUGAUAGACUCGAGUGUAGUAGAGGCAAGUGGAAUUUCUAGUGUAGCGGUAAAAUGCGUAGAUAUUAGAAGGAACACCAGUGGCGAAGGCGACUUGCUGGGCUAUUACUGACGCUGAGGCACGAAAGCGUGGGGAGCAAAUAGG
rnacentral:rRNA from 1 species